GGUCCAGUAGGUGUCAGCCAGCCGGGGAUACUCCGUUCUCCGUCUGGGUUAGUAACAGGUUUACCGGCCACAGCAACACCUGCAAACAAAGAGUUGCAGGGCAUUUCAUGGGAGGGACCAGCAGACAUCAGCAGCUUGAUCACUGAGGCAGUGACAGAAGAAGAGCCCCUGUACGCUGUUCCCCAGAAGGAGCACCAACGUAAAUUCACCAUCGAUGACUUCACCCUGCAUAAGAUGCUUGGGAAAGGCAGCUUUGGCAAGGUGUUUUUAGCCGAGCUGAAAAAAAA